UACGAAGGGGGCUAGCGUUGUUCGGAUUUACUGGGCGUAAAGCGCGUGUAGGCGGGUCGUUAAGUUGGGGGUGAAAUCCCGAGGCUCAACCUCGGAACUGCCUUCAAAACUGGCGACCUGGAGCAAGAUAGAGGCAAGUGGAAUUGCGAGUGUAGAGGUGAAAUUCGUAGAUAUUAGGAAGAACACCAGUGGCGAAGGCGGCUCACUGGCCCGGUACUGACGCUGAGGCGCGAAAGCGUGGGGAGCAAACAGG
rnacentral:rRNA from 1 species